rnacentral:rRNA from 1 species
AUAAGGAGCUUGCUCCUUUGACGUUAGCGGCGGACGGGUGAGUAACACGUGGGUAACCUACCUAUAAGACUGGGAUAACUUCGGGAAACCGGAGCUAAUACCGGAUAAUAUUUCGAACCGCAUGGUUCGAUAGUGAAAGAUGGUUUUGCUAUCACUUAUAGAUGGACCCGCGCCGUAUUAGCUAGUUGGUAAGGUAACGGCUUACCAAGGCGACGAUACGUAGCCGACCUGAGAGGGUGAUCGGCCACACUGGAACUGAGACACGGUCCAGACUCCUACGGGAGGCAGCAGUAGGGAAUCUUCCGCAAUGGGCGAAAGCCUGACGGAGCAACGCCGCGUGAGUGAUGAAGGUCUUCGGAUCGUAAAACUCUGUUAUUAGGGAAGAACAUACGUGUAAGUAACUGUGCACGUCUUGACGGUACCUAAUCAGAAAGCCACGGCUAACUACGUGCCAGCAGCCGCGGUAAUACGUAGGUGGCAAGCGUUAUCCGGAAUUAUUGGGCGUAAAGCGCGCGUAGGCGGUUUUUUAAGUCUGAUGUGAAAGCCCACGGCUCAACCGUGGAGGGUCAUUGGAAACUGGAAAACUUGAGUGCAGAAGAGGAAAGUGGAAUUCCAUGUGUAGCGGUGAAAUGCGCAGAGAUAUGGAGGAACACCAGUGGCGAAGGCGACUUUCUGGUCUGUAACUGACGCUGAUGUGCGAAAGCGUGGGGAUCAAACAGGAUUAGAUACCCUGGUAGUCCACGCCGUAAACGAUGAGUGCUAAGUGUUAGGGGGUUUCCGCCCCUUAGUGCUGCAGCUAACGCAUUAAGCACUCCGCCUGGGGAGUACGACCGCAAGGUUGAAACUCAAAGGAAUUGACGGGGACCCGCACAAGCGGUGGAGCAUGUGGUUUAAUUCGAAGCAACGCGAAGAACCUUACCAAAUCUUGACAUCCUUUGACAACUCUAGAGAUAGAGCCUUCCCCUUCGGGGGACAAAGUGACAGGUGGUGCAUGGUUGUCGUCAGCUCGUGUCGUGAGAUGUUGGGUUAAGUCCCGCAACGAGCGCAACCCUUAAGCUUAGUUGCCAUCAUUAAGUUGGGCACUCUAAGUUGACUGCCGGUGACAAACCGGAGGAAGGUGGGGAUGACGUCAAAUCAUCAUGCCCCUUAUGAUUUGGGCUACACACGUGCUACAAUGGACAAUACAAAGGGUAGCGAAACCGCGAGGUCAAGCAAAUCCCAUAAAGUUGUUCUCAGUUCGGAUUGUAGUCUGCAACUCGACUACAUGAAGCUGGAAUCGCUAGUAAUCGUAGAUCAGCAUGCUACGGUGAAUACGUUCCCGGGUCUUGUACACACCGCCCGUCACACCACGAGAGUUUGUAACACCCGAAGCCGGUGGAGUAACCAUUGGAGCUAG